UACGUAGGUGGCAAGCGUUGUACGGAAUUCUUGGGCGUAAAGCGCGCGCAGGCGGUUCCUUAAGUACGAUGUGAAAGCACACGGCUCAACCGUGGAGGGUCAUUGGAAACUGGGGAACUUGAGUGCAGAAGAGGAAAGUGGAAUUCCAGGUGUAGCGGUGAAAUGCGUAGAGAUGUGGAGGAACACCAGUGGCGAAGGCGACUUUCUGGUCUGUAACUGACGCUGAGGCGCGAAAGCGUGGGGAGCAAACAGG
rnacentral:misc_RNA from 1 species